UGGAUAGGGUUAGAUAUAUUAUUUUUGGACCACUAUUUUGGUAAUUACUUUUUCAAACUACUCUAGCUCAUGCUUUUUGUGAAGUUAGCAGGCCAGGUGAACUAAAAGAAAAAUUUUGUUGUUUUGUGCUGACUGAUUCAGGUGGUCAGAUGUUGCUUGGAGCAUGCAGCUUCGGUUGCUAAAACUUUCUUGAUGUCAGAUUGUGUGGUUGUUGAGAUCAAAGAGCCUGAGCCAAUGGCUGCUGCCGGGAACCCUAUGGACAAUUCAGGAUACGGUUACUAAACUAUUGUAGAAGGUGUGCUUGUGGGGGACAAAGGUAAAAGAACCAAGCCAACUUCAAUUUGGGUGGGUAACAAAAUGCAAAGAAGGGGGGAGUUCUUUGUUUUUUGUAAUUUUAGUAUGCUUGGAAGAAUCUGGUGAGGUUAGCUUGUCCGUGUACCGGCUUGUAGCAGCUUGCAAUUUGGAUGUACAAGUUGAAAUCUGAGUGCAGAAGAAUAAUAUUUUUCACCUCUGGUCUUGGUUAUGAUUUCUCAGAUUUAUUUUCUUGACUAUUUUUUUUAAUUAUUGAUGGUUGUGGGGAAA